UACGUAGGGGGCAAGCGUUGUCCGGAAUUAUUGGGCGUAAAGGGCUCGUAGGCGGUUUGUCGCGUCGGGAGUGAAAACCAGGUGCUUAACACCUGGCUUGCUUUCGAUACGGGCAGACUAGAGGUAUUCAGGGGAGAACGGAAUUCCUGGUGUAGCGGUGAAAUGCGCAGAUAUCAGGAGGAACACCGGUGGCGAAGGCGGUUCUCUGGGAAUGACCUGACGCUGAGGAGCGAAAGUGUGGGAGCGAACAGGA
rnacentral:rRNA from 1 species